rnacentral:rRNA from 1 species
UACAGAGGGUGCAAGCGUUGUUCGGAAUUAUUGGGCGUAAAGGGCGCGUAGGCGGUGCGGUAAGUCUGCGGUGAAAUCUCCCGGCUCAACUGGGAGGCUGCCGUGGAAACUGCCUGGCUUGAGGUCGAGGGAGGAGAGUGGAAUUCCGGGUGUAGCGGUGGAAUGCGUAGAGAUCCGGAAGAACACCGGUGGCGAAGGCGGUCGACUGGGCCAGUACUGACGCUGAGGCGCGACAGCGUGGGGAGCGAACAGG